CCGGAAAUGGGGGAUAACGUAGCGAAAGUUACGCUAAUACCGCAUAUGCCCUGAGGGGGAAAGCGGGGGAUUCGCAAGGACCUCGCGUUUUCGGAGCGGCCGAUAUCGGAUUAGCUAGUAGGUGAGGUAAAGGCUCACCUAGGCGACGAUCCGUAGCUGGUCUGAGAGGACGACCAGCCACACUGGAACUGAGACACGGUCCAGACUCCUACGGGAGGCAGCAGUGGGGAAUUUUGGACAAUGGGCGCAAGCCUGAUCCAGCCAUGCCGCGUGAGUGAAGAAGGCCUUCGGGUUGUAAAGCUCUUUCAGCCGGAAAGAAAACGCACGGGUUAAUAACCUGUGUGGAUGACGGUACCGGAAGAAGAAGCACCGGCUAACUACGUGCCAGCAGCCGCGGUAAUACGUAGGGUGCGAGCGUUAAUCGGAAUUACUGGGCGUAAAGCGUGCGCAGGCGGUUUUGUAAGACAGAUGUGAAAUCCCCGGGCUUAACCUGGGAACUGCAUUUGUGACUGCAAGGCUAGAGUACGGCAGAGGGGGGUAGAAUUCCACGUGUAGCAGUGAAAUGCGUAGAUAUGUGGAGGAAUACCGAUGGCGAAGGCAGCCCCCUGGGUCGAUACUGACGCUCAUGCACGAAAGCGUGGGGAGCAAACAGGAUUAGAUACCCUGGUAGUCC
rnacentral:rRNA from 1 species